rnacentral:rRNA from 1 species
GCCAGCAGCCAUAUCACCCUGCAACUCACAACUGAACUCACAAACCACUGAAGCUCAGCAGGUGUGAGCCUGGUCAGAACCUGGAUGGGAGACUUCCUGGGAAAAACUAAGGUUGCUGCUGGAA